UACCGAGAGCAGCGUUGAGGAGCAUUGUGAAGUAUCGUGUUGGAUGGAUGAGAGUUAGGUGCAUCGAUAAAAACUGAAGAUAUAUCGAGGACUAUCGAAGGAUCAGGGCCAGAAGUUGCUGUUCAUUUGCUGUUCAUUUCAGCAAUCGAUCACCAGCCCAGCCGGAUUCACAUCGACACUCCCAUGGUCGUUUACAUGAUCCAUGCACGCAUCCAGGG